rnacentral:rRNA from 1 species
GACGAACGCUGGCGGCGUGCCUAAUACAUGCAAGUAGAACGCAGUUGCGAACGGGUGAGUAACGCGUAGGUAACUGCCUGGUAGCGGGGGGUAACUAUUGGAAACGAUAGCAUAUACCGCAUACUACCAGAUGGACCUGCGUUGUAUUAGAUAGUGGGUGAGGUAACGGCUCACCAAGGCAACGAUACAUAGCCGACCUGAGAGGAUGAUCGGCCACACUGGGACUGAGACACGGCCCAGACUCCUACGGGAGGCAGCAGUAGGGAAUCUUGGGCAAUGGGGGAAACCUGACUGCAGCACGGCGCGUUGGUGAAGAAGGUCUUCGGGGCGGAAAAGUCUGUUGUGAAGGGAGCGGUACUUAACCAGAAAGGGACGGCUAACUACGUGCCAGCAGCCGCGGUAAUAC